GGCGGCCUCAUCAAAGGAGCCUAUUCAUAAGCGUAUGAUGAUCUGUGCGGUAGGAGCCCCUGGGGAGCAUCGGGGAGAAUAGUCUCGCGGAAACGAUCAUCCAUGAUUCGCGAUUUAUAGCC
ensembl:ncRNA F28F9.7 ncRNA